rnacentral:rRNA from 1 species
AACGAACGCUGGCGGCAUGCCUAACACAUGCCAGUCGAACGAUGCCUUCGGGCAUAGUGGCGCACGGGUGCGUAACGCGUGGGAAUCUGCCUUUCGGUUCGGAAUAACUCAGGGAAACUUGAGCUAAUACCGGAUAACGUCGCAGGACCAAAGAUUUAUCACCGAAAGAUGAGCCCGCGUAGGAUUAGCUAGUUGGUGAGGUAAAGGCUCACCAAGGCGACGAUCCUUAGCUGGUCUGAGAGGAUGAUCAGCCACACUGGGACUGAGACACGGCCCAGACUCCUACGGGAGGCAGCAGUGGGGAAUAUUGGACAAUGGGCGAAAGCCUGAUCCAGCAAUGCCGCGUGAGUGAUGAAGGCCUUAGGGUUGUAAAGCUCUUUUACCCGGGAAGAUAAUGACGGUACCGGGAGAAUAAGCCCCGGCUAACUCCGUG